UACGAAGGGGGCUAGCGUUGCUCGGAAUCACUGGGCGUAAAGGGCGCGUAGGCGGCCAUUCAAGUCGGGGGUGAAAGCCCAGGGCUCAACCCUGGAAUUGCCUUCGAUACUGUUUGGCUAGAGACCGGAAGAGGUAAGUGGAACUGCGAGUGUAGAGGUGAAAUUCGUAGAUAUUCGCAAGAACACCAGUGGCGAAGGCGGCUUACUGGUCCGGUUCUGACGCUGAGGCGCGAAAGCGAGGGGAGCAAACGGG
rnacentral:rRNA from 1 species